GACGAACGCUGGCGGCGUGCUUAACACAUGCAAGUCGAACGGAAAGGCCCUGCUUUUGUGGGGUGCUCGAGUGGCGAACGGGUGAGUAACACGUGAGUAACCUGCCCUUGACUUUGGGAUAACUUCAGGAAACUGGGGCUAAUACCGGAUAGGAGCUCCUGCUGCAUGGUGGGGGUUGGAAAGUUUCGGCGGUUGGGGAUGGACUCGCGGCUUAUCAGCUUGUUGGUGGGGUAGUGGCUUACCAAGGCUUUGACGGGUAGCCGGCCUGAGAGGGUGACCGGCAGCAUUGGGACGGAGAUAGGGCCAAGACGCCGGGGGGGGGAGGAGGGGGGAAAUUGGGAACAGGGGGGGGAGGCUUGAUGCAGCACCGCGGGGGGGGGGAGGGGGCCUUCGGGUUUGAAACCCGCUUGCGCCGGUGAGAAACGGGGGGGGAGGGAAGGGGAAAAAAAGGCACGGGUAAAUUAGGGC
rnacentral:rRNA from 1 species